CCUACGGGAGGCAGCAGUGGGGAAUAUUGGACAAUGGGGGGAACCCUGAUCCAGCGACGCCGCGUGAGUGAUGAAGUUUUUCGGUAUGUAAAGCUCUAUCAGUAGGGAAGAUAAUGACGGUAUCUGACUAAUACGCCCCGGCUAACUCCGUGCCAGCAGCCGCGGUAAUACGUAGGGGGCAAGCGUUACCCGGAUUCACUGGGGGUAAAGAGCGCGUAGGCGGGGUAGCAAGUCAGAUGUGAAAGGGUAGGGCUUAACCCUAGGACUGCAUUGGAAACUGUUAUACUGGAGUACAGGAGAGGUAAGCGGAAUUCCUGGUGUAGGGGUAAAAUACGUAGAGAUUAAGAGGAAUACCAAUUGCGAAGGCGGCUUGCUGGAAUAUAACUGACGCUGAGGCGCGAAAGCGUGGGGAGCAAACAGGAUUAGAUACCCUUGUAGUC
rnacentral:rRNA from 1 species